rnacentral:lncRNA from 1 species
CAGAAACCUAUCAAACCUUGUUGUUUAUAACAGGAACCAGCUAAACUUUGUUACAGAGGGUUGAAUGGCUUGUAACGUCGGAUGAAGGCAGAGAGAGAGUAAGACAAAGAAGAGCAGAGGGAAGGUCCAGAUCACCAGGCUGGGCUCCAGCGACAUCUCUGGUCUGGUUCUGGAUGUGUCUGCAAUGGUGGUGGGUGCUCACAUGGCCCCUCUGAGUUUCACUAUUUGUGUUAGUUUCCAGCUCUUGCUAGUAUAGUAAUUGCUGCUGGUCCCCACCUCCAGUUCUUGCUUCCUGUGCUAAUUACUCCCAGCCUGUGUCCCCCAACCUUCUUUAGAUGGGCAUAGGCAUGGGUUUGUAAUGCCUCUUCUCCUCCUGCUGCCAGAAACACUGGCACCACGAUGUCCUAGGGUUAUCCAAAAUAAAGGAGGAAGUCCUAAAAAGUGCUAUGUAUGUCACCUCCACAGGAUCCCUUUUUCCAACCUUAUGUCAUCUUGUUAGUAUGGUAAUACCCUUUCUCUGCCAAGUCUUUGAGACAUGAUGCUCCUUUAGCCUUUUGGUAUCUUACAUUGGGCAGCAACAAAAAAGUAACGCCUGUGUUUUAAAAUUUCCACUUAUAAAUUUCUCCAAGUUUUGUGGUGAAAGGUUGAAAAAAAAUGCUCAGAAAUAAAUGGGUCUUUCAGAUGUAUUUCCAAAACAUGAACUUCGGACUCAGGUCGCAGCAAGAUGUGAACUACUUUUAUAACGAACAGUGUAGCUUAUCGUUCUGUUGUUAGCGUGUUUGGGUAAUUGUUUUGCUAGAGGAUUUUUUUUUGUUUGUUUGCUUUAAUUAGAAGGAUGACAAAGGGUAUUUCUUGAUUGUUUCUGCUGUGUGCUUUCAGGAAUGGCCGAAGCCAUCAGAGACCAAGUCACAGCCCCAAAAAUGGGUCAAAAAGGGACCUGGGCGCCCCGUCGGGCAGGAAAGGGCAGGCGGCGUCCGCGGGGCGGGCUGCAGGGAAAGGGCAACCUCAGCCCACCCACACUUCCCAGCACCGACGGGGCGGGCUUUCCCCCGCCUCAGCAAGUGCUGCGAGCCCAGCGCCGCCCCGAGGGGCCGGCGUGGGGCCGAGGAGGAGGAGGAGGAGGAAGAGGAGGAGGAGGAGGAGAAGGAGGAGGAGGAGGAGGAGGAGAAGGAGGAGGAGGAGGAGGAGGAAGGGGGCACCGCCCGUCCAGCCGCCCCCCGACGGCAGGGAGGGGCGUGGCUAUGCAAAUCGACCCCCUCAAGCAGCCAAUGGGAGGGCGAGGCGAGCCGCGGGGGCGUGGCUCCUCGCCGGGACUAGCGCUGGGCUCGACGGCGCGGCCGCUCCGACGGCACCGGCAGCGCGGGGAGCGAGGCGGGCGAAUUGGAUUCUACCAGAUCACAGAGAUCGUGGGUGGUGCUGCAUGUAUCUUUGGAGAUGAACUUCUCACAGGUGGCCUAGAUCCAUGCGUUCACUUGCUGAUGUCCAGCUGGUUACACCAGGAGCUCACUUGGCGAAGUGCCUGAGACUCGCAGCAGCGACUGAAGUCAGAAUUUACAAGGUACGGAGAACUGUUUCAAGUGUCUUAACUUGGCAUCGUAACUCAUCAAGUGUGAUAGUGUUGUCCUUAAUCACUGUGCGCUGAAAUCUGUGUCUGCAGAUUGGGCUGUUAGGACUGCCUUCCCCAGAGGACUCUGAGGAGUUUAUGGAGCAUUCCAGGGAUUAUCACAGGAGAAAACACUGAGGAAAUGAAAAGUAGUAACACAGCAAAUGAGAUAUCUAACCGUGAACUGAAUUAUAUUAAAUUUUAUGUUGUACAACAUUAUUUUUUUCAGCACAUACAGAUUGUAAGCAGAGACUUGGUGGAAGUGAUGGGAUGCAGGACAGUGUUUAAUUGCAUGAUCAUCCUGUGCAUAGGAGACAUUACUGUGCAAUCUGAGUCUACAUUUGACAGCUCCUUACUCUUAUUUUAAUGUUUGACUUUUUAUUCUUCCAUGUUUUGUUUUUUUUUUUUUAAAAAAAAAAAACAAAAAACUUUUUUUUUAUAGAGAUGCUGCAGAAUUAGUAUAUGCAUGAACUUAUUACAACAUUAGUAAUAUACAGUGUGAAGAUUUCUGUUUCUGCUUCUCCCUUUCUUUCUACAUUAUUUUAUGUAACACCUGACAUUAGUUGUGGGUGAGAAAGGCAAACUAUAAGAUGCCCUUUUGAGGGUAGGGGAAGGAAGGGUAGACCUUUUCCUAUAAAGUUAUGAGCUUAUUAUGCAAGAGUUCCUACUCAGUGUGGUUUUGUGUUUAAAUGUAAACUUUCCCCAGUCUUGGCCUAGAACUCUUGCUUCAGUUUUGAGUAGAAAAAAUGGUUAUUGUACUAAAUUCCUGAUGUAAGUGUAUGCGUACUUGAGUGCAUCUCUGAAUUAAAAUUGUUGGAAAUUUUUGGGUGCCUGAAGUCUGGAAGAAUACAAUAUAGUACCUUGUGGAUUUAACCAUUCUUAGGGUAUUUUUCCAGAGAAGUGCACCAGCUUUGUUAAGCACAUAAAAUAAAUUGUAAUUAUUGUUGAACCA